UACAGGGGGCGCAAACGUUGCUCGGAAUUAUUGGGCGUAAAGCGCGCGUAGGCGGCCACUUAAGUCGGAUGUGAAAGCCCCUGGCUCAACUGGGGAAGUGCACCCGAAACUGAAUGGCUUGAAUGCAAAAGAGGGUCGCGGAAUUCCCGGUGUAGAGGUGAAAUUCGUAGAUAUCGGGAGGAACACCGGUGGCGAAGGCGGCGACCUGGGUUGACAUUGACGCUGAGGCGCGAAAGCGUGGGGAGCAAACAGG
rnacentral:rRNA from 1 species